rnacentral:rRNA from 1 species
AGAGUUUGAUCCUGGCUCAGGACGAACGCUGGCGGCGUGCCUAAUACAUGCAAGUCGAGCGAAUCAAAGGGAGCUUGCUCCCUGAGGUUAGCGGCGGACGGGUGAGUAACACGUGGGCAACCUGCCUAUAAGACUGGGAUAACUUCGGGAAAACCGGAGCUAAUACCGGAUAAUUCAUAUCUACUCAUGUAGGUAUGCUGAAAGACGGUUUACGCUGUCACUUAUAGAUGGGCCCGCGGCGCAUUAGCUAGUUGGUGAGGUAAUGGCUCACCAAGGCAACGAUGCGUAGCCGACCUGAGAGGGUGAUCGGCCACACUGGGACUGAGACACGGCCCAGACUCCUACGGGAGGCAGCAGUAGGGAAUCUUCCGCAAUGGACGAAAGUCUGACGGAGCAACGCCGCGUGAGUGAUGAAGGUUUUCGGAUCGUAAAACUCUGUUGUUAGGGAAGAACAAGUACGAGAGUAACUGCUCGUACCUUGACGGUACCUAACCAGAAAGCCACGGCUAACUACGUGCCAGCAGCCGCGGUAAUACGUAGGUGGCAAGCGUUGUCCGGAAUUAUUGGGCGUAAAGCGCGCGCAGGCGGUCCUUUAAGUCUGAUGUGAAAGCCCACGGCUCAACCGUGGAGGGUCAUUGGAAACUGGGGGACUUGAGUACAGAAGAGAAGAGUGGAAUUCCACGUGUAGCGGUGAAAUGCGUAGAGAUGUGGAGGAACACCAGUGGCGAAGGCGACUCUUUGGUCUGUAACUGACGCUGAGGCGCGAAAGCGUGGGGAGCAAACAGGAUUAGAUACCCUCGUAGUCC